rnacentral:lncRNA from 1 species
CCUGAGCAACCCUGGCAACCAUCUUUGCAGGGACUCUUCAGUGGGCACAGGACUGCAGACACUGCUAUACUCUGAAAUUUGGAACGGCAGCUAGCUUUGGAGACUGGAAGCCCUGGAUGUGCAUCUCAGAUUCACCACUUUCUAGUUGGCUGAGCCAAUCUUCAGACAGGCCAGGUAACCCGAGCCUCUGUAAAGUGGGGAUCACAGCUACUCUAUGAAGUUGUGAGAGAGAGAAUGUUGUCAUUGGACAUGUCGAGUUGCCUCAUGAACACAAACACAUCCAACUUCCAAAGAUUGAACUACGCGUGUUUAGUAAACCAA